UACGUAGGGGGCAAGCGUUGUCCGGAAUCAUUGGGCGUAAAGCGCGUGUAGGCGGCUUGGUAAGUCCGCUCUGAAAGCCCGGGGCUCAACCCCGGGAGGCGGGUGGAUACUGUCAAGCUCGAGUCCGGAAGAGGCGAGUGGAAUUCCCGGUGUAGCGGUGAGAUGCGCAGAUAUCGGGAGGAACACCAAUGGCGAAGGCAGCUCGCUGGGACGUGACUGACGCUGAGACGCGAAAGCGUGGGGAGCAAACAGG
rnacentral:rRNA from 1 species